UACAGAGGGUGCGAGCGUUAAUCGGAAUUACUGGGCGUAAAGGGCGCGUGGGUGGUUUGCUAAGAUUGUUGUGAAAUCCCUGGGCUUAACCUAGGAACUGCAACGAUGACUGAUAAGCUUGAGUAUUGUAGAGGGUAGUGGAAUUUCCGGUGUAGCGGUGAAAUGCGUAGAGAUCGGAAGGAACACCAGUGGCGAAGGCGGCUACCUGGACAGAUACUGACGCUGAGGCGCGAGAGCGUGGGGAGCAAACAGG
rnacentral:rRNA from 1 species